AGAUUGGAAUUCCUGGUGUAGCGGUGGAAUGCGCAGAUAUCAGGAGGAACACCGAUGGCGAAGGCAGAUCUCUGGGCCGUAACUGACGCUGAGGAGCGAAAGGGUGGGGAGCAAACAGGCUUAGAUACCCUGGUAGUCCACCCCGUAAACGUUGGGAACUAGUUGUGGGGUCCAUUCCACGGAUUCCGUGACGCAGCUAACGCAUUAAGUUCCCCGCCUGGGGAGUACGGCCGCAAGGCUAAAACUCAAAGGAAUUGACGGGGACCCGCACAAGCGGCGGAGCAUGCGGAUUAAUUCGAUGCAACGCGAAGAACCUUACCAAGGCUUGACAUACACCAGAACACCCUGGAAACAGGGGACUCUUUGGACACUGGUGAACAGGUGGUGCAUGGUUGUCGUCAGCUCGUGUCGUGAGAUGUUGGGUUAAGUCCCGCAACGAGCGCAACCCUCGUUCUAUGUUGCCAGCACGUAAUGGUGGGAACUCAUGGGAUACUGCCGGGGUCAACUCGGAGGAAGGUGGGGAUGACGUCAAAUCAUCAUGCCCCUUAUGUCUUGGGCUUCACGCAUGCUACAAUGGCCGGUACAAUGGGCUGCGAUACCGUGAGGUGGAGCGAAUCCCAAAAAGCCGGUCCCAGUUCGGAUUGAGGUCUGCAACUCGACCUCAUGAAGUCGGAGUCGCUAGUAAUCGCAGAUCAGCAACGCUGCGGUGAAUACGUUCCCGGGUCUUGUACACACCGCCCGUCAAGUCAUGAAAGUCGGUAACACCUGAAGCCGGUGGCCUAACCCCUUGUGGGAGGGAGCUGUCGAAGGUGGGAUCGGUAAUUAGGACUAAGUCGUAACAAGGUA
rnacentral:rRNA from 1 species